UCCGUGAGGCUCUCGGGUGUUUCCGUCUUCACUCGUAGAUUUUCGCCCGUAUUUUCGGGUGUUUUGGCCGAGCACUCUCGGAAGGUUCCGGCAUCGAUCGGCUUCUUUCGCUUCUCUCUUUCGGGAAUCUCCGUAGAGCUUUCGGGAGUUUCCGCCGGGUGCAGAGCUGUUCCCGCCUUUUGGGGGCGCGGGCGAGUCUUCGCUGAGUUGCAGGGUCAAAAGAAAUGCUGAGACCUCCAUCAGCUUGGUCAGUGCUGACUUUUGUUAGAGCAAAUUGGCUGGAUUCUUGAUGGAUGGCCUCUGAAAUAAUUCCAUACAUUACCUUAAGCAGCACUACACAGCAGCUCUGACAUAGAGAGGCCUGAAGUGCUCAUUGUCUGCGAUGCUUUCAACAGGCACCCAUUCUUUGCAUGGAUCCAUUUGAUUUACAAUGAAUUUGGUGAGUUUUUUAAACAUUCUGCUGUGGCUGAGGUUUUGAAGCAAAGCCAAGUGGAUUUGUGCCUUGGGAAAGAGGGAACACAAGCUAAGCUGAAUUACUUGAAAUAAUAGGAGAACAUUGUAACAAAUGACUUUAACGAUUAAGAAGAUUUCAAAAUAAUGACUCAAAACCUCCCUCACUGUCCAAGGACACAAGUUUCACAGGGUUGUUUCAGGGAGUCUUUUAAGAGGAAGCAGCAGGAGCUGUGGCUUGUUUGGCCUUGUCCCCCUUUGCUGUUGAGGCUCAGUGAUUGUGCAGAGAGAGCACAGCUGGCAGACCCUCAGGGUGCUGAUUUUGGAGACAAAUGUCCCCCAAAAUAGAGAGGCAUCUGCCCAGCCCAGCCUCAUUGGGCAGGCCUUGGUGGUCUGCAGGGGAGAGCUGGUGUUUGAGAGCCAGGAAGAAAUGUUUCUGAGAGAAGCCAGAAGCCCUGUUUCUUUUCUGAGACAGCUUGUUUUUAUCAAAAGGUUUCUGUUUCAGCUUUCUGGUGUUUUAUGGGAAGGAGCUGGGGAAGGGAAAUUGGGCAAUCCAGAUUGGUUUUGAUGGGAAGGGACCUUAAUGCGCCUCCCAUUCCCCUCCCUGUUAUGGUCAGGUACACCUUCUAGUCUCCCAGGGGUUUCCAAGCCCUGUCCAACCUGGUUAUAGACACUUCCAUGGAUGGGGCAUCCAUAGCUUAUCUGGGCAACCUGUUCUGGGUCCUUCAGCAUCCUCAGAGGGAUUUCUUCCCAAUAUCCCAUCUAAGGUGACCCUGUUUCAAUAUAAACCACUCCAAAGACAAAUAGCCUUGUAUGCUCAAGGUUAGUCACCCAUUCAGGUCUCAUUCCCGUAAAGGUCUCCAAGAAGAGAAGAAAAGCUAAACAAAAGCACUUAACAGAGAGCUCCCACCAACCCUCUCCCCUACCCAAAGCCCUGGGAUAAUGCACUUGCCUGUUUGUGGGGUGGGGGACGUGCAGGGCAGACCGUGGGGCUGCUGAGGUGAUGUGGCCUCUGGAGAGCAGCAGGGCUGGGGAGAAAAUCUCUGUCUUCCUUUCUGCUCAGAGGUGUGGAAGUGUUUGUGAAACACAGGAGCCGUGAAUCGCACAGAAGCUCGCACCACCACAACUCCAGAGCAAAGAGUAAAUUGAUUUCUCUUACCUUGCUAACGGGGGCUCCCUGAAGCAGCACCUGGGCAGGGGCAGUGUUAGAUGUGAUCCGUGCUGGAAGACCCCUGGCAGUACCCUGCAGCUUAUCAGGAGCUGUUCCCAGCUGUGAGGUCACUUCAGCAAUUUUACAUCCUCGUCACCCGUGUUCCGCUUCUACAAAUCGGCCGUUGCUUACGUAACACUUCCUUUUUACUCACUGAGCAGAGUCUGUUACAGGGGCUGUUACUGGAACUUGUAGAGAUGUAGGAGAUCUAAGUCCACUGCUGGAAUUGUCCCAGACCAGAUUGGACAGGAAUGUGUCCCUGCCCCUGGCAGCAGGUGGGACUCAAUGGCUUUAAGGUCCCUUCAAGCCAAAUCAUUCCAUCAUUGCAUGAUUCAACUUCAUUGAGCCAGUGCCUCCAGUGAUUGCAGUGGUACACUCUUCUUCUGUGGCUUGAUAGAAAACCCUUUGGACCAGGAAGCACCUCCUUUCAUCUCUACACUGGCAGGGUCAAAAGAAAUGCUGAGACCUCCAUCAGCUUGGUCAGUGCUGACUUUUGUGAGAGUAAAUUGGCUGGAUUCUUGAUGGAGGGCCUCUGAAAUAAUUCCAUACAUUACCUUAAGCAGGAUUAGACAGACUCAGCUCUGUAAGUAUAUGACACAACGAGGAAAGCUGAAACUUGGUACAGUUCAGCCUCAAAUGGUUCAAAACCAUUACCUAUGGUAUUUGAUAAAUUCCUAUUGAUAAAUUUGAGGAUUACCUGUGCUUUUUCCAUCUUCUCCAGGCAGCAGCACAUCCUCCAGUGUGAAUCCUGUCUGCUGGUAGUAGGGAGCUGGGUGGAAUAUGUGGUUUGCUUUUCUUUUUUUAAUCAGUAGACAGAAAGGCCUGAAGUGCUCAUUGUUUGCGAUGCUCUCGACAGGAUCCAAUUCUUUGCAUGGAUCCAUUUGAUUUACAAUGAAUUUGUUGAGUUUUUUAAACAUUCUUGCUGUGCCUGAGGUUUUGAAGCAAAGCCAAGGGGAAUCGCUCUUUGGGAAAGAGGGAACACAAGUUAAGCCAAAUGACUUGAAAUCAUAGCACAGAAUCACAGAAUGAACUAGGUUGGAAAAGACCUUUGAGAUCAUCUAGUCCAGCCUAUGACUUUAAGAUUUCCUCAUCAGCUAAAUCAUGGUGCUGAGUGCCACCUCCACUCUUUUCUUAAACACAUCCAGGGAUGAUUACCUCUGCUCGGGCAGAUGUUUCCAGUGGCCUAUCACUCUUUCAGUGAAGAAUUUUUUCCUGAUGUCUAAGCUGAACUUCCCCUGCUGCAGGUUAAGCAGGACAUUGUAACAAAGUAUUUAUUUAAUUAUUAAGAAGUUUUCAAAAUAAGGACUGAUAUUACCCAGGGACACAAGUUUCCCAGGGUUGUUACAGGGAGCUUUUGGAGAGGAAGCAGCAGGAGCUGUGGCUUGUUUGGCCUCGUUUGCCUUUGCUGCUGAACCCCAGUGAUUGUGCAGAGAGAGCACAGCAGACACACGCUGUGGAUGCUGAUAUUAAAGGAAAAUGUCCCCCAAAAUAAAAAUCAGCCCAGCCCAGCCUUAAUCGGGCAAGUCCUGGUGGUCUGCAGGGGAGAGCUGGUGUUUGAGGGCCAGAAAGAAAUCCCUAUUUCCUUCCUGACACAGCUUCUUUUCAGGAAAAAGUUUCAGUUUCACUUUUCUGAUGUUUUACGGGAAAGAGCUGGAGAGAAGAAAUUGAACAAUCCAGAACGGUUUUGAUGGGAAGGGACCUUAAAGCUCAUCCCAUUCCUCUCCCUAACAUGGUCAGGGACACCUUCUGCUAUCCCAGAUUGCUCCAAGCCCUGGCCUUGGACACUUCCAGGGAUGUGGGCCAGUGUGCCAGUGCCUGAGCACCACACAGAGGGAUUUCUUCCCACUAUCCCAUCUAACCCUGCUCUCUGUGAGUUUAAACCAUUCCAAAGACAAACAGCUUUGGGUGCUCACUGUUAGUAGUGCUUCCGAGCUCUUUCUAUUGGAACUCUCCAAGAAGAGAAGAAAAACUAAACAAGAGCAGUUAAAGAGAGAGCUGGCACCAACCCUCUCCCCUACCCAAAGCCCUGGGAUAAUGCACUUGCCUGUUGGUGGGGUGGGGGGCGUGCAGAGCAGACCGUGGGGCUGCUGAGGUGAUGUGGCCUCUGGAGAGCAGCAGGACUGGGGAGAAAAUCUCUGUCUUCCUUUCUGCUCAGAGGUGUGGAAGUGUUUGCGAAACGCAGGAGCCGUGAAUCGCACAGAAGCUCGCACCACCACAACUCCAGAGCAAAGAGUAAAUUGAUUUCUCUUACCUUGCUAACGAGGGCUCCCUGAAGCAGCACCUGGGCAGGGGCAGUGUUAGAUGUGAUCCGUGCUGGAAGACCCCUGGCAGUACCCUGCAGCUUAUCAGGAGCUGUUCCCAGCUGUGAGGUCACUUCAGCAAUUUUACAUCCUCAUCACCGGUGUUCCAUUUCCACAAAUUGACUGUUGCCUACGUAACACUUCCUUUUUACUCACUGAGCAGAGUCUGUUACAGGGGCUGGAACUUGUAGAGAUGUAGGAGAUCUAAGUCCACUGCUGGAAUUGUCCCAGACCAGAUUGGACAGGAAUGUGUCCCUGCCCCUGGCAGCAGGUGGGACUCAAUGGCUUUAAGGUCCCUUCAAGCCAAAUCAUUCCAUCAUUGCAUGAUUCAACUUCAUUGAGCCAGGUAACGCUGCUCUUCUUUGACAGAUGAAAAAAUGAACUCAGCAGGGGAUAUUGGCAAUAAAUUCCUCUCUGUGAGGGUGGUGUGGCCCCAGAACAGGUUACCCAGAGAAGCUGAGGCUGCCCCAUCCCUGGGAGUGUCCAAGGGCAAGUUGGAUAUUGCUUGGAGCAACGUGGGCUACUGGAAGGUGUCCCUGCCCAUAGCAGGGAGUGGGGAUGGCCCUGGAGCCUUGAGGUGCCUUCCACCCGAGCCAUUCCAUGUCUCCUGGGCACAUUGCCAUGCUUGUUUGACAGCAAAAGCCAUCCAUGUGAAGAUUCCAGGACUCGAGCACAAGUUUUUACCUGAAUACUUCAGUUUUAUUAGUCUCUCUUAGAAUACUGUACAAAGGAGUAAUAAAAAUAUUCACACUUUAUUUUAGAAAGUUCUCUACAUGAGACUCCUGUAUCCACAGCAAAAAGAAGGCUAUGGGAAAAAACCCCUAAAACUUUGUACAGAACAUUCCUUUAAAAACCCUCCCAACUAAUUCUGCUGAUUUAACUGAUCCAAGGAGGGUAUGGACACACCAACACUCACAUGCUUAAAAGAUAUUCUAGGCAAUGAUAAAGCAACAUAAGUCACAAGAAGGAAUAUUAAUGUGUUAACCCACUGCUGUCCCCUCCUUGAGGGCCAGUACCGAGCUUCUAAAAACAACCCAAAGUUGAACAGUGAUUCAAACAUAAAAGAGAAUAAGUAGCCCUCCAUUUAUUUUAAUUUUAUAGGCUUUUUCCUGCAAAGGUUAGGACUGUUUGCCAGCCUGGUAGCUCUGUGAAAGGACUCCCAGGUCAGGAUCCCUGAUUCAGGAGCAGCAGGCUGGGAGGACUUGCUGGUUUGCUGAGAGUCCUGGAGCAGGGGCUGCAUGGUGCUGACAGUGGCUGAGGGGCUUUGCCAAGUACAAGAUGGGACAGGCUGCUGCCAGUUCUUGGGAAGGCUUCCAGCCUUUCAGAAGUUUUUCUCUUUAAUUGCACACCAAAACAGAAAAGCUUAAAAUAACUUACCAGGGGUUGUUUUUCCAUCACAGGAGAUUUGAUCUCUCCAGGUAGGAACUUGUCCUGAUCAUGAUACAGGACCAGUGUGAGAGGAAAUCUGUCAAGUGUGGUGUGAUCAGAAUCCCAUUUAAAAUCAGUAACAAUCAGUUAUCUCCUCCCUGCAGCACCACAUCUGGUAAUGUUUCCUUUCUCCUCCCACAGUGUGGAUUCACCCUUGAUCUGUCCCCUGCCAGGACAUGUCUGACCACCCCUCAAGCUGCUCAUGCUGUCCUUUCACUUCAGACUGCCUCAGGUACACCCAGAAAUGGUGGUUUAAUUACAACUGACUUCUUGCUUUUGAUUUUUGACUGAUCCUGACACCUACCCUUAAGUUGGGAUCUUAAGGAAGAUGCUACCCCACGUGCAAUUGUUCAAAUACUUAUUAAUUAUAUAUAAAUACUUAACUCACCACAAUAGAACAUGAAAUCUUUCUUCAACUUGCUUCUUUCCAUACUACUUAUAUUUCCCUUUACAUUUCCCUUGACUGGAUUAACUGAGUCCUAAUUAAUGUCAGU